rnacentral:rRNA from 1 species
AGCGAACGCUGGCGGCAGGCUUAACACAUGCAAGUCGAGCGCCCCGCAAGGGGAGCGGCAGACGGGAGAGUAACACGUGGGAACAUACCUUUUGGUUCGGAACAACUGAGGGAAACUUCAGCUAAUACCGGAUAAGCCCUUACGGGGAAAGAUUUAUCGCCGAAAGAUUGGCCCGCGUCUGAUUAGCUAGUUGGUGAGGUAAUGGCUCACCAAGGCGACGAUCAGUAGCUGGUCUGAGAGGAUGAUCAGCCUCAUUGGGACUGAGACACGGCCCAAACUCCUACGGGAGGCAGCAGGGGGGAAUAUUGGACAAUGGGCGCAAGCCUGAUCCAGCCAUGCCGCGUGAGUGAUGAAGGCCUUAGGGUUGUAAAGCUCUUUUAACGGGGAAGAUAAUGACGGUACCCGUAGAAUAAGCCCCGGCUAACUUCGUGCCAGCAGCCGCCGCGGUAA